NAAGUACUCCCUCCGUCCCAAAAUUCUUGUCUUAGAUUUGUCUAGAUACGAAUGUAUCAAGUCACAUUUUAGUAUUAGAUACAUCCGUAUCUAGACAAAUCUAAGACAAGAAAUUUGGGACAGAGGGAGUAGUUG
rnacentral:pre_miRNA from 1 species